GUGUCACGCGACGCGCAUAAUCUCAUCAUGAGCCUGGCCGUCUCUUUUACAANUNANNCNNCNGUNUGAGUNGCAUCGUGGGAGGCUUUCCCUGCAUGUGAGGGAGACCCCGGUUUAACAACGGGCUAAUACCGCAUACGCCCUUGGAGUAAUUUCCUGGGUGAAAGAUUUAUCGCUCCUGUAGGGGCCCGCGUCGGAUUAACUCGUUGGUGACGUAACGGGGGCCNAAGCGAUGAUCCGUAUCUGGUCUGAGAGGAUGAUCAGCCACACUGGGACUGAGACUCCGCCCAGACUCCUACGGGAGGCAUCAGUGGGGAUUAUUGGACAAUGGGGGCUUCCCUGAUCCAUUCCUGGCCCGCUUGACUGAUGAAGGCCUUACGGUUGUUACCCCUUUCCGGCCGGGACCAUCAUUACUGUUCCCGCACCAGGACCCCCGGGUUAACUUCGUUG
rnacentral:rRNA from 1 species